rnacentral:rRNA from 1 species
GGUAACGGCGUGCCAGCGGCCGCGGUAAUACGGAGGGUGCAAGCGUUACUCGGAAUCACUGGGCGUAAAGAGCGUGUAGGCGGGUAUAUAAGUCAGAAGUGAAAUCCAAUAGCUCAACUAUUGAACUGCUUUUGAAACUGUAUACAUAGAAUGUGGGAGAGGUAGAUGGAAUUUCUGGUGUAGGGGUAAAAUCCGUAGAGAUCAGAAGGAAUACCGAUUGCGAAGGCGAUCUACUGGAACAUUAUUGACGCUGAGACGCGAAAGCGUGGGGAGCAAACAGGAUUAGAUACCCUGGUAGUC